rnacentral:rRNA from 1 species
GAUGAACGCUGGCGGCGUGCCUAAUACAUGCAAGUCGAGCGAACGGACGAGAAGCUUGCUUCUCUGAUGUUAGCGGCGGACGGGUGAGUAACACGUGGAUAACCUACCUAUAAGACUGGGAUAACUUCGGGAAACCGGAGCUAAUACCGGAUAAUAUUUUGAACCGCAUGGUUCAAAAGUGAAAGACGGUCUUGCUGUCACUUAUAGAUGGAUCCGCGCUGCAUUAGCUAGUUGGUAAGGUAACGGCUUACCAAGGCAACGAUGCAUAGCCGACCUGAGAGGGUGAUCGGCCACACUGGAACUGAGACACGGUCCAGACUCCUACGAGAGGCAGCAGUAGGGAAUCUUCCGCAAUGGGCGAAAGCCUGACGGAGCAACGCCGCGUGAGUGAUGAAGGUCUGCGGAUCGUAAAACUCUGUUAUUAGGGAAGAACAUAUGUGUAAGUAACUGUGCACAUCUUGACGGUACCUAAUCAGAAAGCCACGGCUAACUACGU